GAACGCUGGCGGCAGGCCUAACACAUGCAAGUCGAGCGGUAACACAGGGAGCUUGCUCCUGGGUGACGAGCGGCGGACGGGUGAGUAAUGUCUGGGAAACUGCCUGAUGGAGGGGGAUAACUACUGGAAACGGUAGCUAAUACCGCAUAAUGUCGCAAGACCAAAGAGGGGGACCUUCGGGCCUCUUGCCAUCAGAUGUGCCCAGAUGGGAUUAGCUAGUAGGUGGGGUAAUGGCUCACCUAGGCGACGAUCCCUAGCUGGUCUGAGAGGAUGACCAGCCACACUGGAACUGAGACACGGUCC
rnacentral:rRNA from 1 species